rnacentral:rRNA from 1 species
AACGAACGCUGGCGGCAUGCCUAACACAUGCAAGUCGAACGAGACCUUCGGGUCUAGUGGCGCACGGGUGCGUAACGCGUGGGAACCUGCCCUUAGGUACGGAAUAACUCAGGGAAACUUGUGCUAAUACCGUAUAAUGUCUUCGGACCAAAGAUUUAUCGCCUUUGGAUGGGCCCGCGUUGGAUUAGCUUGUUGGUGGGGUAAUGGCCUACCAAGGCGACGAUCCAUAGCUGGUCUGAGAGGAUGAUCAGCCACACUGGGACUGAGACACGGCCCAGACUCCUACGGGAGGCAGCAGUGGGGAAUAUUGGACAAUGGGCGAAAGCCUGAUCCAGCAAUGCCGCGUGAGUGAUGAAGGCCCUAGGGUUGUAAAGCUCUUUUACCAGGGAUGAUAAUGACAGUACCUGGAGAAUAAGCUCCGGCUAACUCCGUGCCAGCCGCCGCCGUAA